UACGUAGGGUGCGAGCGUUAAUCGGAAUUACUGGGCGUAAAGCGUGCGCAGGCGGUUCGUUGUGUCGGCGGUGAAAGCCCCGGGCUCAACCUGGGAAUGGCAUUUGGGACUGCAAGGCUGGAGUGCGGCAGGAGGAGACUGGAAUUCCUGGUGUAGCAGUGAAAUGCGUAGAUAUCAGGAGGAAUACCGAUGGCGAAGGCAGGUCUCUGGGCUGACACUGACGCUCAUGCACGAAAGCGUGGGGAGCAAACAGG
rnacentral:rRNA from 1 species